rnacentral:pre_miRNA from 1 species
AAUAAGUGUAUGUUUCAGUGUUUCGAUACAAUGUUUUGACUCUUCGUCUUAUUUGAAUUUUUUUGUGAUUAAUAUUUUUAUUUUUACUAGACGAUAAAACAUGAAUAGUUCUUUAUGCGUGACUAAUUUUUUUAAGUUUUUGUACAAAUUUUUUAAAUAAGAUGAAUGGUCAUUGGAUAUGGAAAAAC